AGAGCUAACGCAGGGAACUGAAACAUCUUAGUACCUGCAGGAAGAGAAAAUAAAUGAAUGAUUCCCCCAGUAGUGGCGAGCGAACGGGGAACAGCCCAAACCAGUGGCGUCGCAAGGCGUGGCUGGGGUUGUAGGACCGCGACAUUGUAUGCAAAUCGUGAACAGAACACUUUGGAAAAUGUGACCAUAGACGGUGAUAGUCCAGUAUGUGAAGCGAAAUGCGGCAUAGCGGUAUCCUGAGUAACGCGGGACACGAGGAAUCCUGCGCGAAUCUGCCGGGACCAUCCGGUAAGGCUAAAUACUCCCGUGAGACCGAUAGCGAACGAGUACUGUGAAGGAAAGGUGAAAAGAACCCCGAGCAGGGGAGUGAAAUAGUUCCUGAAACCAUACGCCUACAAGCGGUCGGAGCAUCUUACGAUGUGACGGCGUGCCUUUUGCAUAAUGAUCCUACGAGUUACCGUCACUGGCGAGGUUGAGUGUCACGAGACACGUAGCCGCAGUGAAAGCGAGCCUGAAUAGGGCGCACAGUCAGUGGGGGUAGACGCGAAACCAAGUGAUCUACACUUGGCCAGGAUGAAGUCCCGGUAACACGGGAUGGAGGUCCGCACCAAUAAGCGUUGAAAAGCUUCUGGAUGAGCCGAGUGUAGGAGUGAAAGGCCAAUCAAACUUGGAGAUAGCUCGUACUCCCCGAAAGGCAUUUAGGUGCCGCGUCGGAUGGUCACCGUGAGAGGUAGAGCGACCGAUAGGACAAGAGGGCUUCACCGCCUAUCGAGUCCUGACGAACUCCGAAUGCUCACGGUUUGCAGUCCGGCAGUAAGGGGGCGGGUGCUAAGGUCCGUCCCCGAGAGGAGAAGAA
rnacentral:rRNA from 1 species